UACGUAGGUGGCAAGCGUUGUCCGGAAUUAUUGGGCGUAAAGCGCGCGCAGGCGGUUCUUUAAGUCUGAUGUGAAAGCCCACGGCUCAACCGUGGAGGGUCAUUGGAAACUGGAGAACUUGAGUACAGAAGAGGAAAGCGGAAUUCCACGUGUAGCGGUGAAAUGCGUAGAGAUGUGGAGGAACACCAGUGGCGAAGGCGGCUCACUGGACCGGUACUGACGCUGAGGCGCGAAAGCGUGGGGAGCAAACAGG
rnacentral:rRNA from 1 species